GACGAACGCUGGCGGCGUGCUUAGCACAUGCAAGUCGAACGAAGAGCGAUGGAAGCUUGCUUCUAUCAAUCUUAGUGGCGGACGGGUGAGUAACGCGUAAUCAACCUGCCCUUCAGAGGGGGACAACAGUUGGAAACGACUGCUAAUACCGCAUACGAUCUAAUCUCGGCAUCGAGGAUAGAUGAAAGGUGGCCUCUACAUGUAAGCUAUCACUGAAGGAGGGGAUUGCGUCUGAUUAGCUAGUUGGAGGGGUAACGGCCCACCAAGGCGAUGAUCAGUAGCCGGUCUGAGAGGAUGAACGGCCACAUUGGGACUGAGACACGGCCCAUACUCCUACGGGAGGCAGCAGUGGGGAAUCUUCCGCAAUGGACGAAAGUCUGACGGAGCAACGCCGCGUGAGUGAUGACGGCCUUCGGGUUGUAAAGCUCUGUUAAUCGGGACGAAAGGCCUUCUUGCGAAUAGUGAGAAGGAUUGACGGUACCGGAAUAGAAAGCCACGGCUAACUACGUG
rnacentral:rRNA from 1 species